GUGAAUCAUCGAAUUUUUGAACGCAAAUUGCACUCUCUGCGAUUAGUGUGCGUAUGUCAGUUUCAGCCUAAGAAAAACGACAUAGUUGCUGGUACGCUGUAACAUUCGGCGAAAAUUGGGUCAUCUUAAACCUUGGGUUUUAAGAGGCGUAAAAUUAUCUUUAAGAUUCCAAGCGCACUUAU
rnacentral:misc_RNA from 1 species